rnacentral:rRNA from 1 species
UACGUAGGCGGCGAGCGUUGUUCGGAGUUACUGGGCGUAAAGGGUGUGUAGGCGGUUGGUUAAGUUUGGUGUGAAAUCUCCCGGCUCAACUGGGAGGGUGCGCCGAAUACUGAAUGACUUGGAGUGCGGGAGAGGAAAGUGGAAUUCCUGGUGUAGCGGUGAAAUGCGUAGAUAUCAGGAGGAACACCGGUGGUGUAGACGGCUUUCUGGACCGUAACUGACGCUGAGACACGAAAGCGUGGGUAGCAAACAGG